AGCAGCCGCGGUAAUUCCAGCUCCAAUAGCGUAUAUUAAAGUUGUUGCAGUUAAAAAGCUCGUAGUUGAAUUUCGGGGUUAGUAGGUUGGUCAUGCCUCUGGUAUGUACUGGUCUCACUGACUCCUCCUUCCUGAUGAGCCGUAAUGCCAUUAAUUUGGUGUUGCGGGGAAUUUGGACUGUUACUUUGAAAAAAUUAGAGUGUUUAAAGCAAGCUAACGCUUGAAUACAUUAGCAUGGAAUAAUGAAAUAGGACGUUCGAUCCUAUUUUGUUGGUUUCUAGGAUUGACGUAAUGAUUAAUAGGGAUAGUUGGGGGCAUUAGUAUUCAAUUGUCAGAGGUGAAAUUCUUGGAUUUAUUGAAGACUAACUACUGCGAAAGCAUUUGCCAAGGAUGUUUUCAUUAAUCAAGAACGAAAGUUAGGGGAUCGAAGACGAUCAGAUACCGUCGUAGUCUUAACCAUAAACUAUGCCGACUAGGGAUCGGAUGAUGUUAAUUUUUUAAUGACUCA
rnacentral:rRNA from 1 species